AGGUGAUAUUGUGUUGGUUUGUUGGUUUGUUUGUUUUUGUAUUUUUAGUAAAGAUGACGUUUCUGCAUGUUGGUCAGGCUGGUCUCGAACACCCGAACUUAGGUGAUCCAGCCCCUCUCAGCCUACCAAAGCGCUGGGUUUACAGGUGUGAGCCACCGCACCCGGCCAGGUGACAUUACUCUUUUGCCUUGGCACUGCCCUCAGAAGGCAUGGUGGUAUAUUGCUGGGCCCAGCACCAAUGUGAUGUGAGUCUCCUGCCUGGACCCUGCCUACAAGGUGCAUUGUGACAUAUCUCUGGGCCCUUUGACUAUAUUAUGUGUCUCUCCUCUCUUAGAUGUUGCCCAAAAAGAGAUUGUGACAUAACUUUGGGCCCAGCACCGAGGUGAUGUCUCCCCUCUCCUGCCUGGGGCUUGCCCACCGAAGAGAGAGUGACUUAUUGAUGAGUUCAGCACACAGGGAUUGUGUCAUAUCACUCUGUCAAGAACCUAGAUGAGGUGACUCUCCUCUCCAGCCUGGGACCUACAUACGUUGUGUAUUGAGACAUGUCACUGGCUUCAACACCUGGAUAACACAACUCUCCUGCAUGGGCCCUGCCCAUAGAGGUGAUGCUACUCUCUACUUAUGGCUGGGCCUUGACAAAAAGAGGGAUUGGGACAUAUCCCUGGACGCUGAACCUAAGAGGUGGAGGUUGCCGUGGUGACAGAGUGAGACUUCGCCAAAACAAAACAAAAAAAACAACAACAAAAA
rnacentral:lncRNA from 1 species